rnacentral:rRNA from 1 species
AUUGAACGCUGGCGGCAGGCCUAACACAUGCAAGUCGCACGAGUGGCGGACGGGUGAGUAAUGUCUGGGUAACUGCCUGAUGGAGGGGGAUAACUACUGGAAAAGGUAGCUAAUACCGCAUAACCUGAGCAGUGCCCAGAUGGGAUUAGCUAGUAGGUGGGGUAAAGGCUCCCCUAGGCGACGAUCCAUAUCUGGUCUGAGAGGAUGACCAGCCACACUGUAACUGAGACACGGUCCAGACGCCUACGGGAGGCAGCAGUGGGGAAUAUUGCACAAUGGGCGCAAGCCUGAUGCAGCCAUGCCGCGUGUAUGAAGAAGGCCUUCGGGUUGUAAAGUACUUUCAGCGGGGAGGCGUUACCCGCAGAAGAAGCAUCGGCUAACUCCGUGCCAGCAGCCGCGGUAAUAC